ACAUUUGGUAAGACUGUUGAAGCCACCUGGUCCCAGCAGACCCCAGAAGGCAACCACAUUCCCUGGUGCUGGGGCAAGGUCUUUGAGGGUGAAGCCUGGUAUCAGAUGUG
ensembl:rRNA 5S_rRNA 5S ribosomal RNA